rnacentral:guide_RNA from 1 species
ACAACAAACAGAUACGAGAACUGAUAGAGAAU